GCGCCUGUAGCUCAGCGGAUAGAGCGCAGCCCUGCGAAGGCUGAAGUCGUGAGUUCAAAUCUCACCAGGCGCACCA
rnacentral:tRNA from 2 species